CUUGGGGACGCACAUGAGGUGACACACACAGGAGGGGACACACGGGAGGGGACAUUGGGGACACACAUGGGGUGACACACGCAUGAGGUGACACACGUGUGUGACAUUGGGGACACACGUGAGGUGACAUUGGGGACACACAUGAGGGGACACACGCAUGGUGACACACGCAUGAGGUGACACACGUGGGUCGUUGGGGACACACGGGAGGGGACAUCGGGACACAUGUGAGGUGACACUCACGGUGACACAUGUGUGACAUUGGGGACACACAUGAGGGGACACACGCACGGUGACACACGCAUGAGGUGACACACGUGUGUGACAUUGGGGACACACAUGAGGGGACAUUGGGACACAUGUGAGGUGACACACAUGUGUGACAUUGGGGACACACAUGAGGGGACACACGCAUGGUGACACACACAUGAGGUGACACACAUGUGUGACAUUGGGGACACACAUGAGGUGACAUUGGGGACCCACAUGAGGUGACAUUGGGACACACGUGAGGUGACACACACAGGAGGUGACACACGUGUGACAUUGGGGACACACAGGAGGGGACAUUGGGGACACACGGGAGGGGACAUUGGGGACACACGGGAGGUGACACAUGCAUGAGGUGACACACGUGUGACCUUGGGGACACACAUGAGGGGACAUUGGGGACCCACAGGAGGUGACCUUGGGGACACACAUGAGGGGACAUUGGGGACACACGGGAGGUGACAUUGGGGACACACGUGUGACAUUGGGACACACGGGAGGUGACACACACAGGAGGUGACACACUGACGGUGACACACCCGGCAGCGCUAUGGGGCACACCCAUGGCUACGUGCGCACACGGGGACACGUGGGGUGAUAAUGGGACACGUGGGGUGACAGUGGGGUGACAAUGAGACACGUGGGGUGACAGUGGGGACAUGUGGGGUGACAAUGGGGUGACAAUGGGACAGAUGGGGUGACAAUGGGGUGGCAGUGGGGUGACACAUGGGGUGACAGUGGGACAUGUGGGGUGUCAGUGGGGUGACAGUGGGGUGGCAGUGGGGUGACAAUGGGGACAGAUGGGGUGACAGUGGGACAUGCGGGGUGACAAUGGGACACAUGGGGUGACAAUGGGGUGGCAGUGGGGACACAUGGGGUGACAGUGGGGUGACAAUGGGGACAUGUGGGGUGACAGUGGGGUGACAAUGGGGUGACAGUGGGACAUGUGGGGUGACAGUGGGACAUGUGGGGUGACAAUGGGGAUAUGUGGGGUGACAGUGGGGCACGUGGGGUGGCAAUGGGGUGACAUAUGUGGUGACAAUGGGAUACGUGUGGUGACAGUCGGGUGACAAUGGGGUGACAAUGGGGUGACAAUGGGGUGACAAUGGGAUAUGUGUGGUGACAGUGGGGUGACAGUGGGGUGACAAUGGGGUGGCAAUGGGGUGACAAUGGGGUGACACGUGGGGUGAUAAUGGGGUGACACGUGGGGUGACAAUGGGGCACGUAGGGUGACAGUGGGGUGACAAUGGGGUGACAUGUGGUGACAAUGGGAUAUGUGUGGUGACAGUGGGGUGGCAAUGGGGUGACAAUGGGGUGACAGUGGGGUGGCAAUGGGGUGACAAUGGGGUGACACGUGGGGUGACAGUGGGGUGACAGUGGGGUGACAGUGGGAUACGUGUGGUGACAAUGGGGUGGCAAUGGGGUGACGAUGGGACACAUGGGGUGACAGUGGGGUGACAAUGGGGACAGAUGGGGUGACAGUGGGACAUGUGGCGUGACAGUGGGGUGACAAUGGUGAUAUGUGGGGUGACAAUGGGGUGACAGUGGGACACAUGGGCUGAUAAUGGGGUGACAAUGGGGUGACAAUGGGACAUAUGGGGUGACAAUGGGGUGACAGUGGGGUGACAAUGGGGACAGAUGGGGUGACAGUGGGGUGACAGUGGGAUACGUGUGGUGACAGUGGGGUGACAGUGGGGUGACAAUGGGGACAGAUGGGGUGACAGUGGGACAUGUGGGGUGACAAUGGCAAUGGGGUGACAGUGCUACACGUGGGGUGACAGUGGGGUGGCAAUGGGGUGACGAUGGGACACGUGGGGUGAGAAUGGGGUGACAAUGGGGCACGUGGGGUGACAAUGGGGUGACAAUGGGGUGACAAUGGGGACACAUGGGGUGACAAUGGGACACGUGGGGUGACAAUGGGGAUAUGUGGGGUGACAAUGGGGUGACAAUGGGACAC
ensembl:lncRNA